AGUGACAGGUGGUGCAUGGUUGUCGUCAGCUCGUGUCGUGAGAUGUUGGGUUAAGUCCCGCAACGAGCGCAACCCUUAUUGUUAGUUGCCAUCAUUUAGUUGGGCACUCUAGCGAGACUGCCGGUGACAAACCGGAGGAAGGUGGGGAUGACGUCAAAUCAUCAUGCCCCUUAUGACCUGGGCUACACACGUGCUACAAUGGGAAGUACAACGAGUCGCUAGACCGCGAGGUCAUGCAAAUCUCUUAAAGCUUCUCUCAGUUCGGAUUGCAGGCUGCAACUCGCCUGCAUGAAGCCGGAAUCGCUAGUAAUCGCGGAUCAGCACGCCGCGGUGAAUACGUUCCCGGGCCUUGUACACACCGCCCGUCACACCACGAGAGUUUGUAACACCCGAAGGCGGUGAGGUAACCUUUUUGGAGCCAGCCGCCUAAGGUGGGAUAGAUGAUUGGGGUGAAGUCGUAACAAGGUAGCCGUAUCGGAAGGUGCGGCUGGAUCACCUCCUUUCUAAGGAA
rnacentral:rRNA from 1 species